GGUUUUCCCGUUGAAUUUAA
rnacentral:rRNA from 1 species